rnacentral:rRNA from 1 species
ACAGCAGUAGCCGCGGUAAUACAGAGGGUGCGAGCGUUAAUCGGAUUUACUGGGCGUAAAGCGUGCGUAGGCGGCUUUUUAAGUCGGAUGUGAAAUCCCUGAGCUUAACUUAGGAAUUGCAUUCGAUACUGGGAAGCUAGAGUAUGGGAGAGGAUGGUAGAAUUCCAGGUGUAGCGGUGAAAUGCGUAGAGAUCUGGAGGAAUACCGAUGGCGAAGGCAGCCAUCUGGCCUAAUACUGACGCUGAGGUACGAAAGCAUGGGGAGCAAACAGGAUUAGAUACCCCUGUAGUCCCUGUCUCUUUACA